GUUGGAAAUUUAUUUUCAGUGUCGCAGGGAAACCGAUAAACACACCGCCUGGGGAGUACGACCGCAAGGUUAAAACUCAAAUGAAUUGACGGGGACCCGCACAAGUAGUGGAGCAUGUGGUUUAAUUCGAAGAUACGCGCAGAACCUUACCAACACUUGACAUGUUCGUCGCGACUCUAAGAGAUUAGAGUUUUCGGUUCGGCCGGACGAAACACAGGUGCUGCAUGGCUGUCGUCAGCUCGUGUCGUGAGAUGUUGGGUUAAGUCCCGCAACGAGCGCAACCCUCACUUUUAGUUGCCAUCAUUAAGUUGGGCACUCUGAAAGAACUGCCAGUGAUAAGCUGGAGGAAGGUGGGGAUGACGUCAAGUCCUCAUGGCCCUUACGUGUUGGGCUACACACGUGCUACAAUGGCAUCUACAACAGGAAGCAAAACGGCAACGUUAAGCAAAUCCCGAAAAGAUGCCUCAGUUCGGAUUGCACUCUGCAACUCGAGUGCAUGAAGCUGGAAUUACUAGUAAUCGUGGAUCAGCGUGCCACGGUGAAUGCGUUCCCGGGUCUUGUACACACCGCCCGUCACACCAUGGGAGUUGGUUCUACCUUAAGGCAAGGUUUUAAACCCUUGACCACGGUAUAGUCAGCGACUGGGGUG
rnacentral:rRNA from 1 species